rfam:Schistosoma rodhaini strain Burundi genome assembly, scaffold: SROB_scaffold0002226
AGCCUUCUAUAUCCGUGCUGAGAUUUCGUCACACCAAACCACAAGGGCUGAUGAGACUACCAAGAUAAGUGAAGCU